ensembl:lncRNA
UUUAAUAAGAUAAUCAUUUGUAGCUAUGGUUAUUUGACAAUUUGGUUAAUUCCUCUAGGGGAACAGGCUGUUGAGGAGUUGAAUGGUGCAGUUGAAGAUAAGGAGGAAGCUCUCAAAGUAGAUGCUGCUGCUGAAGUUAAGUUGGCCUACUGUCCACCUGGAUGGCUUAAAUAUGAAUCACUCUCCUUUCAACAUGAGAUCAAUUCUGUCCUGGCUCAAUGCUGAGGUUAGGACUGAUCCAAAUGCAGAUAAGAGCUUUAUUAUAUUAUGAGAGACAGGCAGACAAAUCCAAAUUGUAAAACAUAGACGUGGUCAUAAACAGGCAAAGGUCAGGCAAUUGGCAAACAGGCAUAAACGAGGAAAAACAUAAUCGAAGAACAAGGGUGAGAACAAGAUUAAAACUAUAACACAUGAAACGAGGAACAAAGGCUUGAUAUAUGGGAACCUCAAAGUAAUACUUCGCGACGAACAAAGAGAGACACGAGGGGUUUAAAUACUAAACAUAAUCAGGGGUGAACACAAAACAGCUGAGACUAAUGAUGACACAUACGGUAAACAGCCAAUGACAAUACAGGGUCAGAGACAGGACAAACCAUAACAAAACACACAUGUCAAAAGAAAACAAAGUCAAUGUCACUGAAAACCUGGAAGUGUGUGCUUAUGCUUUGGGCUUUGGUGCGCGCUGCAUGCUCCAGUGCUUAGUGUGAGGGGAAAUUGUGACACCUUCCUUCCUUCCUUCCUCCUAAUUAUGUCUUUAGGCACAGUGUGUAGCUGAACAGGCAAGACUGUACAAAAUCUGUUAAACAUUCAAUGCAACGUUCUAAAUAAACCAAUAAACCAUUUAUAUAUUUAAAUAAACAUAUCUAUAUUCAUAUGCAAUAAAUAAUUAAUUAACUUAAUUGCUAAAUAUUUAAUUAAUUUGCUUCCAGUGGAUAAAAUUGGUUCAAAAAUUCUCUGUAAAACUUUAUAUUAUUUAAAUUCUCAAGGAUGAUUUCAUUAAAAUUGCUUAAAAAUGCUGAUAUGAGUCAAACUCAUGAAAUGUUUUGUAAUGCUCUAGUAGCCAUUAAUUGUUAUGUAAGGAAUUUAAUUUAUACAACAGAUGUUUAAACAAAAAUUUAAUAAGCAACUGAUAUUUCAGGCACAGUAUGGCAAAAUAUUUUGUUUAUUUUUGUUUUGCCGGGAAAAAAAGUUCCCAAAGAAACCACAGCUGGA